GACGAACGCUGGCGGCGUGCUUAACACAUGCAAGUCGAACGAAGAGCGAUGGAAGCUUGCUUCUAUCAAUCUUAGUGGCGAACGGGUGAGUAACGCGUAAUCAACCUGCCCUUCAGAGGGGGACAACAGUUGGAAACGACUGCUAAUACCGCAUACGAUCUAAUCUCGGCAUCGAGGAUAGAUGAAAGGUGGCCUCUACAUGUAAGCUAUCACUGAAGGAGGGGAUUGCGUCUGAUUAGCUAGUUGGAGGGGUAACGGCCCACCAAGGCGAUGAUCAGUAGCCGGUCUGAGAGGAUGAACGGCCACAUUGGGACUGAGACACGGCCCAGACUCCUACGGGAGGCAGCAGUGGGGAAUCUUCCGCAAUGGACGAAAGUCUGACGGAGCAACGCCGCGUGAGCGAUGACGGCCUUCGGGUUGUAAAGCUCUGUUAAUCGGGACGAAAGGCCUUCUUGCGAAUAGUGAGAAGGAUUGACGGUACCGGAAUAGAAAGCUACGGCUAACUACGUG
rnacentral:rRNA from 1 species